GAGUCCUGGUGCACCUGAGUGUUUUUUGGUUUUCCUGUUAUGUAUGGGGGUAAUUCGGGUCAUGUUUGAUUGGCAUCCAUUGUGGCUGCGGUUCCUGUUCUUUAUGGCAAUGAUAGUGUGUAUAGAGCCCAGAGGCUGUACAUACACUGGUCCUCUUUUUAUACUGGUGCUAGAGGGUAUUGGAACCCCCUUAAGCCAUCAUACUUUUAUUGUUCUGCUCGCAGAAGGUGGAGAAAAGGGGUAAGACAUUUGACAAAAUGUUUAAAGAUAAUAUUACCCUCCACCUGCAAUGCAGCAAAGAAAGGGGGUCUUUUUAUGUAACGAUUCAUGCCUGGCUAAUUGGGGUUUUAGUUUUGGCUACUGCACUGUUAUCGUACACAACAUAACCGCUAUUACUGGUGUAGUGUUUCUGAGAUGGCGUAGUGUUUCUGAGCUGGCGUAGUGUUUUCAGAGAUGGCGUAGUGUUUCUGAGAUGGAGUAGUGUUUCUGAGAUGGCAUAGUGUUUCUGAGAUGGUGUAGUGUUUCUGAGAUGGCGUAGUGUUUUCAGAGAUGGUGUAGUGUUUCUGAGAUGGAGUAGUGUUUCUGAGAUGGCUUAGUGUUUCUGAGAUGGUGUAGUGUUUCUGAGAUGGCAUAGUGUUUUCUGAGAUGGCGUAGUGUUUUCUGAGAUGGUGUAGUGUUUCUGAGAUGGUGCAGUGUUUUCUGAGCUGGCGUUGUAUUUCUGAGAUGGCGUACUGUUUUCUGAGAUGGCAUAGUGUUUCUGAGAUGGCGUAGAGUUUCUGAGAUGGCGUAGUGUUUCUGAGAUGGCGUAGUGUUUUCUGAGAUGGAGUAGUGUUUCUGAGAUGGCGUAGUGUUUGCUGAGAUGGCGUAGUGUUUGCUGAGAUGGCUUAGUGUUUCUGAGAUGGUGUAGUGUUUCUGAGAUGGCGUAGUGCUUCUGAGAUGGCUUAGUGUUUCUGAGAUGGAGUAGUGCUUUCAGAGAUGGAGUAGUGUUUCUGAGAUGGCUUAGUGUUUCUGAGAUGGUGUUGUGUUUCUGAGAUGGCGUAGUGUUUUCUGAGAUGGAGUAGUGUUUGCUGAGAUGGCUUAGUGUUUCUGAGAUGGUGUAGUGUUUCUGAGAUGGUGUAGUGCUUCUGAGAUGGCUUAGUGUUUCUGAGAUGGAGUAGUGUUUUCAGAGAUGGCAUAGUGUUUCUGAGAUGGAGUAGUGUUUCUGAGAUGGCUUAGUGUUUCUGAGAUAGUGUUGUGUUUCUGAGAUGGCGUAGUGUUUUCUGAGAUGGCGUAGUGUUUUCUGAGAUGGAGUAGUGUUUCUGAGAUGGCUUAGUGUUUCUGAGAUGGUGUAGUGUUUCUGAGAUGGCAUAGUGUUUUCUGAGAUGGCGUAGUGUUUUCUGAGAUGGUGUAAUGUUUCUGAGAUGGUGCAGUGUUUUCUGAGCUGGCGUUGUAUUUCUGAGAUGGCGUACUGUUUUCUGAGAUGGCAUAGUGUUUCUGAGAUGGCGUAGUGUUUCUGAGAUGGCGUAGUGUUUUCUGAGAUGGUGUAGUGUUUUCUGAGAUGGCUUAGUGUUUCUGAGAUGGUGUAGUGUUUCUGAGAUGGCAUAGUGCUUCUGAGAUGGCUUAGUGUUUCUGAGAUGGCGUAGUGUUUCUGAGAUGGUGUAGUGUUUCUGAGAUGGCAUAAUCUAUCAUGAAAACCAUUUUAUACUAAGUGCACCGAGAGCUGGUCUAUGAACCCACAAUCUUAAGGAGAUAAUGGAGAUUGGGAUUGAAUGAAACAUGAGAUUACUUCAAAUGUACAGGAUGUUACAGACAGGCAACAUGGACAU